GGUGGAAAUUCAAAAAUCAAGUAAAAAAAGGUGGUGAGUCAAUUGUUUCGGGUAAGAGACUGCACCCGAGGGCGGAAGAUAGGAGUAUUUCUACUCCUAAUACUAGGGGGUUCCGUGGACCAGCCUAUUAGAGGGGCACGGUAA
rnacentral:sRNA from 1 species